GACUGCGUCGCUUAGUGGUUAGAGCAUCUCGUUGUGGUUACUGCUCAAUUCCUUCACGAGCUGCCCCGAGAAGACGGGUGUUCGAUUCACCCCGCGGUCA